rnacentral:rRNA from 1 species
UACGUAGGGUGCAAGCGUUGUCCGGAAUUAUUGGGCGUAAAGAGCUCGUAGGCGGUCUGUCGCGUCGGCUGUGAAAAUCCAGGGCUCAACCCUGGACCUGCAGUCGAUACGGGCAGACUAGAGUCCGGCAGGGGAGACUGGAAUUCCUGGUGUAGCGGUGAAAUGCGCAGAUAUCAGGAGGAACACCGGUGGCGAAGGCGGGUCUCUGGGCAGUAACUGACGCUGAGGAGCGAAAGCGUGGGGAGCGAACAGG